GUCUUGGUAGUUUAAAUAAAAUGCGGCUUUGAAGCGGCUGUGAUGGUAUUACUUGUGCCCUGAGAUAC
rnacentral:tRNA from 1 species